AGUCAAGUAAUUAAGUGCAUGUGGUGGAUGCCUUGGCAGUCAGAGGCGAUGAAAGACGUGAUAGCCUGCGAAAAGCUCCGGGGAGGCGGCAAAUAUCCUUUGAUCCGGAGAUGUCUGAAUGGGGGAACCCACCUACUUUAAGGUAGGUAUUGCAACAUGAAUACAUAGUGUUGCAAGGCGAACGAGGGGAAGUGAAACAUCUCAGUACCCUUAGGAAAAGAAAUCAAUUGAGAUUCCCUCAGUAGCGGCGAGCGAACGGGGAUCAGCCCAUUAAGUUAUGUGUGUUUUAGUGGAACGCUCUGGGAAGUGCGAACGUAGAGGGUGAUAUUCCCGUACACGAAAGGGCACACAUAAUGAUGACGAGUAGGGCGAGGCACGUGAAACCUUGUCUGAAUAUGGGGGGACCAUCCUCCAAGGCUAAAUACUCCUGACUGACCGAUAGUGAACCAGUACCGUGAGGGAAAGGCGAAAAGAACCCCUGUGAGGGGAGUGAAAUAGAUCCUGAAACCGCAUGCAUACAAGCAGUGGGAGCACCUUCGUGGUGUGACUGCGUACCUUUUGUAUAAUGGGUCAGCGACUUAUAUUCAGUAGCGUGGUUAACCGUAUAGGGGAGCCGUAGAGAAAUCGAGUCUUAAUAGGGCGUUUAGUUGCUGGGUAUAGACCCGAAACCAGGCGAUCUAUCCAUGAGCAGGUUGAAGGUUGGGUAACACUAACUGGAGGACCGAACCCACUGUCGUUGAAAAGCCAGGGGAUGACUUGUGGAUAGGGGUGAAAGGCUAAUCAAGCCUGGUGAUAGCUGGUUCUCCCCGAAAGCUAUUUAGGUAGCGCCUCGGACGAAUACCAUAGGGGGUAGAGCACUGUUUCGGCUAGGGGGUCAUCCCGACUUACCAAACCGAUGCAAACUCCGAAUACCUAUGAGUACUAUCCGGGAGACAGACUGCGGGUGCUAACGUCCGUAGUCAAGAGGAAAACAAUCCAGACCGCCAGCUAAGGCCCCAAAAUCAUAGUUAAGUGGGAAACGAUGUGGGAAGGCAUAGACAGCUAGGAGGUUGGCUUAGAAGCAGCCACCCUUUAAAGAAAGCGUAAUAGCUCACUAGUCGAGUCGGCCUGCGCGGAAGAUGUAACGGGGCUAAAACUAUGUGCCGAAGCUGCGGAUGUAUACUUUGUAUACGUGGUAGGGGAGCGUUCUGUAAGCCGAUGAAGGUGUGUUGAGAAGCAUGCUGGAGGUAUCAGAAGUGCGAAUGCUGACGUGAGUAACGACAAAACGGGUGAAAAACCCGUUCGCCGAAAGACCAAGGGUUCCAGUCCAACGUUAAUCGGGGCUGGGUGAGUCGACCCCUAAGGCGAGGCCGAAAGGCGUAGUCGAUGGGAAAAUGGUUAAUAUUCCAUUACUUCUGUGUAAUGCGAUGAGAGGACGGAGAAGGCUAAAUCAGCCUGGCGUUGGUUGUCCAGGUGAAAGGAUGUAGGCAUGUAUCUUAGGCAAAUCCGGGGUACUCUAUGCUGAGAUCUGAUAGCAAGCUGUACUUGUACAGCGAAGUGGUUGAUGCCAUGCUUCCAGGAAAAGUCUCUAAGCUUCAGUUACACAGGAAUCGUACCCGAAACCGACACAGGUGGUCAGGUCGAGUAGACCAAGGCGCUUGAGAGAACUCUGCUGAAGGAACUAGGCAAAAUGGUACCGUAACUUCGGGAGAAGGUACGCUGUUGUUGGUGAUGGAACUCGCUUCCUGAGCUGACGACAGCCGCAGAAACCAGGCCGCUGCAACUGUUUAUUAAAAACAUAGCACUCUGCAAACACGAAAGUGGACGUAUAGGGUGUGAUGCCUGCCCGGUGCUGGAAGGUUAAUUGAUGGGGUUAGCGUAAGCGAAGCUCUUGAUCGAAGCCCCAGUAAACGGCGGCCGUAACUAUAACGGUCCUAAGGUAGCGAAAUUCCUUGUCGGGUAAGUUCCGACCUGCACGAAUGGCAUAAUGAUGGCGGCGCUGUCUCCAGCAGAGGCUCAGUGAAAUCGAAAUCGCUGUGAAGAUGCAGUGUACCCGCGGCUAGACGGAAAGACCCCGUGAACCUUUACUGCAGCUUGACACUGAACUUUGACCUUACUUGUGUAGGAUAGGUGGGAGGCUUUGAAGCUGGAACGCUAGUUCCAGUGGAGCCGUCCUUGAAAUACCACCCUGGUAAUGUUGAGGUUCUAACUCUGUCCCGUGAUCCGGGACGAGGACCGUGUCUGGUGGGUAGUUUGACUGGGGCGGUCUCCUCCUAAAGAGUAACGGAGGAGUACGAAGGUGCGCUCAGCGUGGUCGGAAAUCACGCGUAGAGUAUAAAGGCAAAAGCGCGCUUAACUGCGAGACCCACAAGUCGAGCAGGUACGAAAGUAGGUCUUAGUGAUCCGGUGGUUCUGUAUGGAAGGGCCAUCGCUCAACGGAUAAAAGGUACUCUGGGGAUAACAGGCUGAUACCGCCCAAGAGUUCAUAUCGACGGCGGUGUUUGGCACCUCGAUGUCGGCUCAUCUCAUCCUGGGGCUGAAGCAGGUCCCAAGGGUAUGGCUGUUCGCCAUUUAAAGAGGUACGCGAGCUGGGUUUAGAACGUCGUGAGACAGUUCGGUCCCUAUCUACCGUGGGCGCUGGAAAUUUGAGAGGAUCUGCUCCUAGUACGAGAGGACCAGAGUGGACGAACCUCUGGUGUACCGGUUGUGACGCCAGUCGCAUCGCCGGGUAGCUAUGUUCGGAAGGGAUAACCGCUGAAAGCAUCUAAGCGGGAAGCCUACCUCAAGAUAAGAUUUCCCUAGGACUUUAUGUCCUCUAAAGAGCCGUUCGAGACUAGGACGUUGAUAGGUUGGAUGUGGAAGCAUAGUGAUAUGUGAAGCUGACCAAUACUAAUUGCUCGUGAGGCUUGACUAUACAACACCC
rnacentral:rRNA from 1 species